rnacentral:rRNA from 1 species
UACGAAGGGGGCUAGCGUUGUCCGGAAUUACUGGGCGUAAAGCGCACGUAGGCGGAUAUUUAAGUCAGGGGUGAAAUCCCAGAGCUCAACUCUGGAACUGCCUUUGAUACUGGGUAUCUUGAGUAUGGAAGAGGUAAGUGGAAUUGCGAGUGUAGAGGUGAAAUUCGUAGAUAUUCGCAGGAACACCAGUGGCGAAGGCGGCUUACUGGUCCAUAACUGACGCUGAGGUGCGAAAGCGUGGGGAGCAAACAGGG